UACGAAGGGGGCUAGCGUUGCUCGGAAUGACUGGGCGUAAAGGGCGCGUAGGCGGAUGGCACAGUCAGAUGUGAAAUUCCUGGGCUCAACCUGGGGGGCUGCGUUUUGAUACGUGCAGACUUGAGUUCGGAAGAGGGUCGUGGAAUUCCCAGUGUAGAGGUGAAAUUCGUAGAUAUUGGGAAGAACACCGAUGGCGAAGGCAGCCAUCUGGACCGACACUGACGCUGAGGCGCGAAAGCGUGGGGAGCAAACAGG
rnacentral:rRNA from 1 species